UACGUAGGGGGCGAGCGUUGUCCGGAUUCAUUGGGCGUAAAGAGCUCGUAGGCGGCUUGGCAAGUCGGGUGUGAAAACUCCAGGCUCAACCUGGAGAUGCCACCCGAUACUGCUAUGGCUUGAGUCCGGUAGGGGACCACGGAAUUCCUGGUGUAGCGGUGAAAUGCGCAGAUAUCAGGAGGAACACCGGUGGCGAAGGCGGGUCUCUGGGCCGAUACUGACGCUGAGGAGCGAAAGCGUGGGGAGCGAACAGG
rnacentral:rRNA from 1 species